UACGUAGGGGGCUAGCGUUGUCCGGAAUCAUUGGGCGUAAAGAGCGUGUAGGCGGCCCGGUAAGUCCGCUGUGAAAGUCGGGGGCUCAACCCUCGAAUGCCGGUGGAUACUGUCGGGCUAGAGUGCGGAAGAGGCGAGUGGAAUUCCUGGUGUAGCGGUGAAAUGCGCAGAUAUCAGGAGGAACACCGAUUGCGAAGGCAGCUCGCUGGGACGUAACUGACGCUGAGACGCGAAAGCGUGGUGAGCAAACAGG
rnacentral:rRNA from 1 species